UGGUGUACACCAGGGCUUUCACAGCUGAAGGUAUCAGUCAGUGUGAUGAUUUUACAUGGUGAUGAAUUUCAUCGUGUGAGCGAGUUUUUCCAAAAAAUUCCCAAUGGAUUAUCCCUCGAUAUUAAAAUACCCCUCUAAUUGUAAGAAUAGUGCUAUAUCAAAAUUAUCCACUUGUGAAAAAACCAAUGGGUCGGUGAAGGUUUGGAGGACACAGUAAAUAAUGGAUAAAUCGUGGUGAUAAUGAUGGUGCGGCUAAAGAUACUCUGCCUUUAUAUGUUUUUUGGAAUUUUAUUUUGAUGGUCUCCUAAUGGAUUUUAGAAUGUGAAAUUUAUUGAAUGCUCGGGCAUUAGACUAUCCGAUUGCAUGUGAAAAUAUGGGCAGUGGAGGUGUUGCCGAAUUACCGACGAUAUUUCAUCCACGUCGAUCACGUGCACCAAGUAUCAUCCUCAGUGAUGAGCGCAAUGAACAUGGACCAUUCUCUAGCUCUCUCUCUGGAGGACAAGAUAAUUCAGGGGGAUGCGAGCAACAGGGUUGCAGCGUUGUCCCUGGAUGCGGUGAUUCAGCAUCAAGCUGCAGGUCCCUCGAUACAGGGGCUAGUUGUACUGGAAGCGGGGGUGGUCCAGGUUCAGGCGGGGCUCAAGGCCACAAUCCCCCGUGCGUUAGCUCCACUCGACCUGCGGUUUCUUAUCAAACACGAAGGCAGUCGUUAUCACGAUGCUACAAUUCCUGCUGCGCUGAGUCAGCCAAGAAAAUUUACUUCGGUGUAUGCGUAACAAUUUGCGUGACUGCCUCUUGGGUAGGUGCAACCCACUGUAUGAAAUAUUUAUAUUACUAUAAGCCAGAAAUAACAACUCAUUCGGCAUCCAUAAAUUCGUCAGAAAGUGGACUACAUCAUCAACCGAUUAUUCUCCCCUAUAAUGCACCAUUUUUCACCACGUGGUUCUGCACGAAUUUUGCAGUUCUCUAUUUUCCUAUUUACUUUAUCUGUAGAAUUGUCAAAACAAAGUGCUCAAAUCCAACUGAAAUCAUUGCCGAGAGCUUGCGAGGAUUUCGAGACAAGGGUUUCACUGGUGGACGAUUUUUAACUAGAUGCAGUCUAUUCUGCGUCCUGUGGGUCGCCACUAAUUACAUGUACAUCCAUUCCUUACGGAUACUACUAGCUACAGAUGUUAUGGCAUUAUUUGCCACUAAUGUAUCAUGUGUUUAUCUUCUAUCCUGGGUUAUACUUCAUGAACAAUUUGUUGGAGUCAGGAUUGUUGCUGUGAUUUUAUGCGAUACGGGUAUUGCUCUACUGGCGUAUAUGGAUGGAAUAACGGGUAGUCCAACUCUCGGAGGUGUUGUCCUAGCUGCAUCGGCUGCUGCAGGUUCAGCAGUAUACAAGGUGCUGUUCAAAAAAGUUAUCGGAGAGACGACGUUCGGUCAAGUAUCUCUAUUCUUCUCUCUAAUUGGUCUUUGCAAUGCUGCAUUAUUGUGGCCAGUCUGCCUGGCCCUUUAUUUUUCCGGUGCUGAGAGCCUCCACUGGGCAAAAUUACCCUGGGCAGCUUUAUUAUCUGGGAGUAUACUUCAUCUAGUGGCGAAUAUGGUGGGUAAUUUCAGUGUAGCCUUGACAUACGACUUGUUCAUUACACUGGGGCUCAUUACAGCUGUACCUGUGUCCGCCGCCCUCGAUGUAGUUCUGUACGGUGCCCACUUUGUAGGAAUGAAACUAGCCGGUAUGAUAUUAAUCGCCGUUGGUUUUUUCCUCGUUAUGUUUCCCGACAACUGGCCUGACUACAUCACCCGGCUACUUCGGUAUGCAUUACAAAAAUUAGUUACAUCAGUAUUGUGGUAUGCAGUUUUAGCUACUUAAUAGGGCAAAAACAAAAAAAUAACAAAGGAUAAAACCAUCGAGUACAUCAAUUUAUUGAGAUUCAUUCAAUUUAGCUUUUAGUUUUUUUUUUUUUUAAUUAUUUUUGGGAAGAGAAAAAAACAACCAAAUGAGCCAUUAACUGACCUUUAGAAUUUUUCAAUUACUUCUUAUUCUCUAUUUCUAUGACUAUUGCAAGACAAAAAAAAUCGAAAAGUUAUAUCGUUGAUAAAUUAAUUACUCUUGAUUCGUAAUUUAUUUUCUUAAUUUAUUUAUAUUUUACUUUGCACCAAGAAUUAGAGGCAGCGCGUAGUCUUUCACUGAUCAGUAGUAAAUCGUUUGCUUGAAAAAUAUUAACUCAGCUAUGUAAUGAACUUGAAUUACUCUUAUCUCUUCAAACGUCAUCUCUGACACUCUUAUUAUGAGUUAAAGGUAUCCAUCUCAAUGAAUGGGAAAAUAAUUCUGAGGAAUAUCGAAUAAAAAGUUAUGAGGGAAGAAUUAUCAGCGCACACUGCUGCAAACACCAUCAAUUUUUAAUAAUUAUUAAUCACUCGUUAUUUCAAUAAUCUCCACAAUACAUAUGAUAAAUUACUCACGUUAAAAUGAAAAUAAAUCACGCAUACCCCACAGAGCUUUCAGUGUGUCAACUUACGAGACUUAUCAUGCCAUAGAUAACAUUGAAUUUAGAUAGUGCAGGAACCAAUCCAUAUGCAGAUAGCUUUUUUUUUUUUAUUGAAGGAUUAGCCCACAAGAAACCAAUGAACAAUUGUUUUGAUCAGUUGGGCGUCUAACCUUUUACAAGACAAAUAGUUAUUUUAAGCUUUCCUAAUUUCAUUUCAAUGUACUGCAAUGUACCUACUCUUAAAUCCCAAAAUUUCAAUUUUCUAUGAGUGUGAUGUUUAAAGCUGAAUACUCAGACAAUAGUCUCCUCUCAACAAAAAAAAAACUCAUCGCAAAAAUUUGGGCAAUUAGCAAGUGCUCAUCACCCCAAAAAAAUAAUCGUAUGAAAAACUCGACUUCAACACUCCCUGAACUCGCUUCCCAACAAUCAGGAUCCAUUAUAUGCUGUUACAGAAACAUAGUCAUCAUGAGUCACAGUACAAGGGUGAUGAUUGAUUUCAGAUGGAGCCGAAGACAUCGGCACGGUCUGUCAGGUGGA